ensembl:ncRNA T23G4.126 ncRNA
CAUGUUCCUUGCGAAGAGCAGCGAUAGCUUCACGUUGAGCCUUACGGGUGAGGCUUUUGUUGUCGUGAAUUGCGGUGAGCUUGGCUGAAACUGCAGACAGAUUGCUGAUCACUGAAGCGGUCUUCUUCUUGGCUUCAGCUUCAUUGGUGGCUUCCUUUGCUUUGUGCUCCUUGUAGGCCGCCU